AUUUUAAUUUCACACUUGGGC
rnacentral:miRNA from 1 species